GACGAACGCUGGCGGCGUGCUUAACACAUGCAAGUCGAACGGAAAGGCCCUGCUUUUGUGGGGUGCUCGAGUGGCGAACGGGUGAGUAACACGUGAGUAACCUGCCCUUGACUUUGGGAUAACUUCAGGAAACUUGGGCUAAUACCGGAUAGGAGCUCCUGCUGCAUGGUGGGGGUUGGAAAGUUUCGGCGGUUGGGGAUGGACUCGCGGCUUAUCAGCUUGUUGGUGGGGUAGUGGCUUACCAAGGCUUUGACGGGUAGCCGGCCUGAGAGGGUGACCGGCCACAUUGGGACUGGGAUACGGCCCAGACUCCUACGGGAGGCAGCAGUGGGGAAUAUUGCACAAUGGGCGGAAGCCUGAUGCAGCAACGCCGGGUGCGGGAUGACGGCCUUCGGGUUGUAAACCGCUUUCGCCUGUGACGAAGCGUGAGUGACGGUAAUGGGUAAAGAAGCACCGGCUAACUACGUG
rnacentral:rRNA from 1 species